AGCAGCCGCGGUAAUUCCAGCUCCAAUAGCGUAUAUUAAAGUUGUUGCAGUUAAAAAGCUCGUAGUUGAAUUUCGGGGUUAGUAGAUUGGUCAUGCCUCUGGUAUGCACUGGUCUUACUGAUUCCUCCUUCCUGAUGAACCGUAAUGCCAUUAAUUUGGUGUUGCGGGGAAACUGGACUGUUACUUUGAAAAAAUUGAGUGUUUAAAGCAGGCUAACGCUUGAAUACAUUAGCAUGGAAUAAUGAAAUAGGACGUUCGAUCUUAUUUUGUUGGUUUCUAGGAUUGACGUAAUGAUUAAUAGGGAUAGUUGGGGGCAUUAGUAUUCAAUUGUCAGAGGUGAAAUUCUUGGGUUUAUUGAAGACUGACUACUGCGAAAGCAUUUGCCAAGGAUGUUUUCAUUAAUCAAGAACGAAAGUUAGGGGAUCGAAGACGAUCAGAUACCGUCGUAGUCUUAACCAUAAACUAUGCCGACUAGGGAUCGGAUGAUGUUAAUUUUUAAUGUACUCAUUCGGCGCCUUAA
rnacentral:rRNA from 1 species